CCGGGCGUGGUGAAAUUGGUAGACAUAUCAGACUUAGGAUCGACGCCGCGAGGCAUGGGGGUUCGAGUCCCUCCGCCCGGA
rnacentral:tRNA from 1 species